rnacentral:rRNA from 1 species
UACGGAGGGUGCAAGCGUUAUCCGGAUUCACUGGGUUUAAAGGGUGCGUAGGUGGGUCUGUAAGUCAGUGGUGAAAUCUCCGAGCUUAACUUGGAAACUGCCAUUGAUACUAUAGAUCUUGGAUAUUGUGGAGGUCAGCGGAAUAUGUCAUGUAGCGGUGAAAUGCUUAGAUAUGACAUAGAACACCAAUUGCGAAGGCAGCUGGCUACACAUAUAUUGACACUGAGGCACGAAAGCGUGGGGAUCAAACAGG